rnacentral:tRNA from 1 species
GGCUAUAUAGGUCAGUGGCAGAGCACAUGCUUAACAUGCACAAAGUCCUGGGUUCAAUCCCCAGUACCUCCA